rnacentral:lncRNA from 1 species
CCUGGUCCACGUACUGGAGGAUCUCGCCCAGGGAGUGCAGCCGCCCGCCUAGCUCCGUCAUCUGGGCCCUCAGCACGGAGUUCUCCGUCUCCACGGCCAGGCACUGCUGGGUGACCGCCUUUAGGUUGGUGAUGAUCUGGCCGUUCUCCUUCCGGAGUUGACCCACUUGGGCAGUCAGGUCAUCCAGAUGCUUCUGCUUCCUCUGCCGGGACCUCCUCGCCGAUUCCCUGUUGGAGAGUUUCCUCUUCUGCUUCCUCAUGUCGGUCGCCUGCAGCUGCAGGUCCUCGUCGGAGCUGGCCAGCAGAGUGGAGCCCGAGGACGUGCCACUCCCGCUGGAAGAAGCCAUGGCUAAUUGAAGGACGAUACCUAAGAGAGGUAGUAUGCGUAUUAUGUAUACAGAUAGAUAGAUUGAUAGAUAGAUAGAUAGAUAUAGAUAGUGGGUUUUAUUAUUUUUACGGAGGCUGCAGGACCCAGAAGGCCGGCCGGCGACUGGGGAGAGGGAUGCUCACGAGAAGACGUAGAACCAGUAGAGGAAGACGACGGAGAAGGACUGAACAAGAUGGGUCCUGCGCCUCAGAGUCGAAUUUAUCAUAAACCCGGAGAGGAGGAUCUCACUGACGAUUGGAGACAUCAAUCAGGGGCAUCAAAGGAGACCGGCUUUUUCAUGUGGAUGGGGAGGCAAGGCCGGAACCGAGACGGGGGAGAGAGGAGCAGCGGCGGCGGCGGCGGCGGAUCUCCGAUCAAAGCCCGCCGGGAAGAAGGGAAGAAAGGCAGAGAAAUGGCCGGCGAGGAGCUCCUUGUAGGAGGAGCAGGCGGCGCCGAUCCCGAAGGAGAGUUCCAACGCAGGAGGAAGCGGAAGAAGGGCUUCAGCACCGCCGCCCCCUGGAUCUGAAGGAACGGAGAGGAGAGAGGAACAGGGUGAGGGGAGGAUGGAGAAGCGGUUGAAGAAGAGGAGAGAGGGGAGUUGCAACUGAGCCAAGGGGCGAGUUUUAUAGAAAAACGGGGGCAUCUGCCCACGCAUGUCCCCGCACACCCAUGAGAGAGAGAGAGAGAG